UACAGAGGGUGCAAGCGUUAAUCGGAAUUACUGGGCGUAAAGCGCGCGUAGGUGGUUCGUUAAGUUGGAUGUGAAAUCCCCGGGCUCAACCUGGGAACUGCAUUCAAAACUGUCGAGCUAGAGUAUGGUAGAGGGUGGUGGAAUUUCCUGUGUAGCGGUGAAAUGCGUAGAUAUAGGAAGGAACACCAGUGGCGAAGGCGACCACCUGGACUGAUACUGACGCUGAGGUGCGAAAGCGUGGGGAGCAAACAGG
rnacentral:rRNA from 1 species